CAUCCCUAUCACUUUUGGAACUCAUUCCAAAAACAUAGGGGGGAUCAUUAAGAGACAUUGGCACCUUCUGAAGGACAUCCCUAGAUGCAAGGCACCCCCUUUGUUUACCCAUAGAAGGAGCAAGAAUAUAGGUAGUACACAGUAGAAUGCCCAGGCAACUCUCCUUUGAAUUAGGACAGACACAUGGUUUUACAGGACAAACUGCUUGUGGGAGGUGUUCGGUAUGUCCGCAAUGUGUGAGAUUGAAAUCUUUCCUGAUUCCACCAUCUACCAAGGAAUACACACUGAGAGAUGGAUUCACAUGUCAAACUAAAGGAGUUGUCUACAUAAUCAAAUGUCCAUGUAAUUUGUAUUAUGUAGGCAAAACAAUCAGGGCAGUGAAACAGAAUAGUUGAGCAUAAGAGCUGCAUAAGGAGGGGCAAUUUACAGGCUCCUUUGGUGAGACACUUUAAGGAACAUGGACAUAGUGCUGAAGUCCUAAGAUUUUGGAGUAUUGAGAAAAAUAGAGGACAUAGUGGUAAUACUAACUAAUGGCUUCUGAAAAGGGAACUGUUCUGGAUCCAUACUUUUUGAACCUGGACCCCCAGGGGAUUGAAUUCAGAUGUAAAUUGGGGAGUGAUGUUAUGAGGUGUUGGCAUGAAAUGAUCUUUUCUUUCUGCUUGAUGUGCUUUGAUGUAGGUGGAUUGUGGUGGACCUAGCUAUAAUACAUAGAUUGCCAUGAAUUGUUCUUAUGUUAUAAAAAAAAACCCCAAAUGUUUGCAGAAUUGGGUCCUUUCAAGAGUCAUAUGGUGGCACCAAUCUACAACAGCUGGGGUUAAUUUCUUCAUUGUACUAUAUAUUCUACAUCAGAGUUAAGCAUUUAUGCUUGCCUCUUUCUGAAGAAGAUCAUUCUGAAGAAGAUGAAGGAUACAGACCUACAAUUUAAAAGGACUUUUUUACUUGCAGAAUGCCAUAGCACAAGUGACAAUAUAAAGCAUCUUAACCCUCAUCUUAAACCAAAGGUUUUUGGAUUACUGAAUUUCCAGGCAUUUUAAAAAGGGAAAUCUGAUCAGACACUAUGGGGAAGAGCUUUACCCAAACCACAAGGGUUUCCCAACCUGCGGUGCUCCAGAUGUCGCUGAACUAAAACUCCCAUAAUCCUCAGGCUGUGGACUCUUCAAUAUGCUGAGAAAGUGGGUCCUUUUGCUCCAGACCUCCAGAAGUGGGGUGAUCCAGAGAAGAUCAUGCCAGGAAGAUGCCUCCUUUGAAGUUUGAUUGUAACGGAGACCCUUUGAAAGAGCAAGAUCAGAAAAGUCUGCAUCAUCAACCAAAGGGUGUCCAUGCGUACAGUGAUUUCCCCACCCCUCAACAAUCUGCACCUACCAAUUGGAAACUGGCCAGUUUCCAGUUUGGUCAUUGAGUAUGUCUGUAAAUAAGGCAUCUAUUAAAUCCACUGAAAAGCAAGCUGAUCUGUCCAUGAAGAAAACUCUUGUGUGUAUGGUCUGAACAAUGCAAUCAAGUAUCAUUAUCAAGAUGCUUACAGAUGUAUCACUUCAUCUGAGAACAUCAAGAAAUCCACCUGGCGAUUAUUAAUUUUUAAAAAGAAAAACAUCUUGCCUUUUAUUGAAAUUCCAGAGUGAUUUACGAUAAAAGUAACCAUGACUCAA